ACACCGGCGGCCCGAGUGGUGAUCGUGAUUAUUGGGUCUAAAGGGUCCGUAGCCGGUUUGGUCAGUCCUCCGGGAAAUCUGAUAGCUCAACUAUUAGGCUUUCGGGGGAUACUGCCAGACUUGGAACCGGGAGAGGUAAGAGGUACUACAGGGGUAGGAGUGAAAUCUUGUAAUCCCUGUGGGACCACCUGUGGCGAAGGCGUGUGACCAGAACGGGUUCGAGGGGGAGGGACGAAAGCUGGGGGCGCGAACCGGAUUAGAUACCCGGGUAGUCCCAGCCGUAAACGAUGCUCGCUAGGUGUCAGGCAUGGCGCGACCGUGUCUGGUGCCGCAGGGAAGCCGUGAAGCGAGCCACCUGGGAAGCACGGCCGCAAGGCUGAAACUUAAAGGAAUUGGCGGG
rnacentral:rRNA from 1 species